CAAUUGUACCCGGACCUAUGCCCGGCCACUUUGGGACAUCGCAGGGCACUAAAACCACUCACCAGAAUGCUAGUGGUCCAGAAAAUACGAUAUCGCUGGACCUUUCCUAUGGGCUUGAUAGCCACCACCCAAAGCGGCCCUAGAUCGAUCUGCACCCCACGGGACCUGCAGGAGCUAUCAGAAGAACUCCACCUGCCACCUCUUCAC